ACCAUAACUGUAAGGUUAUGCUGAACGCACAGAAGUCAGCAGAGGUCAUAGUAGUCGAAAGAUGAAG
rnacentral:ncRNA from 1 species